rnacentral:rRNA from 1 species
UACGAAGGGGGCUAGCGUUGUUCGGAAUCACUGGGCGUAAAGCGCAUGUAGGCGGGUCUUUAAGUCAGGGGUGAAAUGCCAGGGCUCAACCUUGGAACUGCCUUUGAUACUGGAGACCUUGAGUCCGGGAGAGGCGAGUGGAACUGCGAGUGUAGAGGUGAAAUUCGUAGAUAUUCGCAAGAACACCAGUGGCGAAGGCGGCUCACUGGCCCGGUACUGACGCUGAUAUGCGAAAGCGUGGGGAG